UCUCAGGAGGGGACACCGUGCCACAGAUGCAACUGGCUGGGACAUGGCCCUGGUUGGGGUGGCCACUGCAGGCCUCCUUGAGGAGGAAAUGGUUGAGGAGAAAAAAAAUAGUCCUGGAACUUGACACAGAAUAAGAACUCAGCAGGUAGCAAAAACUCCUAAUUAGAAACACUCAGUAAAGAAUUCGUCACUUCCUUUUAAAGAAUGGUGUAAUUACUUUUAAGAAUUGAAAAAUUGCUUCAUUUGAUCAAAUAUUUUGAUUAGCAAAGAAAUUAAUUGUACUGUAUCUUCAUUUGUAUUUACAGUGAAUAAAUGAAUGCUAAAAAUAACAACAGCAGGAAAACUGCCUGUCAAAAAACAAAAAAAAGAUAAAACAUUAAAAAAUCCAGAUGAAAAUAAAGUGGAAGCUCUGAGGAAGCUUCCUGCUACAGACCUUGCUGCCGGAUCAAGAAACACGCUGGCCUCCGAAGGGCUCCGCACAUGCCUGAGGGGAGCCUCUGGUGUGUCAGGAGGUCGGGCCCAGGUGACUGCCCAAUGGGAGUAGAUACUCCAGCACAGUGUUUGCACAAGUGAGGCAGUUUCAUCAGAAUUCCAGGCACAGUUCCAGACUUUCUGGUGGCAUAACUGCUGCCCAGGCCUGGGAUCUCUUACCACACAAGGAUUCCUUCUGGGCAAUGAACAAUAGCUAAUCCAAAGAUUCCAGAACUUCCUUUGCAAAGACCAUCAGUCAAGUCAAGCUUCAAGUGAAUUCAACCAGUGCUUACUGAAAACUGACCCCAGAGUACCAGUGGCCUUCCUUCUUGUGUCUCCUUUACCCAGACACUGGGCUGGGCAACAGGGAAUCUUCUCUGGUCCUCACAUCACCCUGCGAGGCAGCCACGGCUCUCCCUGCUGUGCAGACAAAGUAAGUGGGGCUCGGUUCCAAGCUCCUGCCAGCCGGUGCUGGAGAUGGAGAUUGUUUGACUCCAAAGCCACGCUCCUCCGAUUUCAGCACAAGUCCAACCACCUACCACAUGUGCAAGAACGCAGAAGCCUCUGAAAAUCCGAACUCAGCAACACUGAUGAGGGCUCAUGACAUGCCAGGCACACUCCCAGGCAGGAGUGACAGAGCAGUGAACCAAAAGCCCUACCCCUGGAGAAGCUGAUGUUUUGAGACACCCACCCAGGGAGGCAAGCAAGGGUGGAGUGGACCACCCUACUAGCUCGGCCCCUUGGCUCUCCUCACAGAAUCCUUUGCCAUGGGCCUCCCCCACUGUCCUGCCCUGGCCAUGCCCAAAGUGUGGUGCCUCCCAAGCCCCAGGCUCUGCAAGCACUAACUCUCCUCCCAGGAAGCCCCAUCUCCUGCGAUCCACCUGGGCUGGCUCCUCAACUCAAGCUUCUAGACUCGGUGCAAGCUCAUCAGAAAGCCGUUUCUGCCCAUCCUUCCCCCACUUACAGAGUUAGAUCCUCCUCCUCCUCGUCAUCCUCCUCGUCCUCCCGCUCCUCCUCCCAGCUCUCUGUGCUUACCUCAGUCAUACAGCUUGACGUUCACAAAGGAUCUAUGCUGAGGCCUUUGCAAACACUGAUUCACAAAUCCUCCAGUUGCAUCGAAUUGCCAUACAAUGCAAAGAAAUAAAAGGGAAACAUUUAAGCCGCCCUUCGACCCUUUAAUGAUUCAAUAAAUUCAUGGGUGAAGUCA